GGCCACGGCUCAGUUGGAAGAGCAUUGGGCUAGUAUUCCAAAGGUCGUAGGUUCGAAUCCCGCCGUGGCCA
rnacentral:tRNA from 1 species